rnacentral:rRNA from 1 species
UACGUAGGGUCCGAGCGUUGUCCGGAAUUACUGGGCGUAAAGAGCUCGUAGGUGGUUUGUCGCGUUGUUCGUGAAAACUCACAGCUCAACUGUGGGCGUGCGGGCGGUACGGGCAGACUGGAGUACUGCAGGGGAGACUGGAAUUCCUGGUGUAGCGGUGGAAUGCGCAGAUAUCAGGAGGAACACCGGUGGCGAAGGCGGGUCUCUGGGCAGUAACUGACGCUGGAGGAGCGAAAGCGUGGGGAGCGAACAGG